CAAGCUUAUGUUACUAUAGAAGAAUGAGAGAUCACCUGGGCAAAUAUAAGACAUUUUAGAUGAUCCAUAAUAGAAUUACUAACCUCCAGUCUGUCUGCCAGCUCCACAAAGACACAAGAGCAAACCCAGAAAUUCUGAGAACCUUCCUUGAAAUCAUUGAACAGCAAAUGAACAAGCUGUUGCCAACCUGGGGUAGAAGACAGCAGAACAAUUUCAGCCUAGAAAUACUGUUCACCUCACACACUGAAGCAUUCUUUACCAGAUACCCCACCUAUCCUCAAUAAAC
rnacentral:lncRNA from 1 species